UAUUCCUAUUCAUGCAAGCACCAGAAAUUUUUACCAGUCAAAAAGAAUCUCGUACUAAGUGUUAAGAGGAACUGUCAAUCAUGACGUGACUUAGCAUGUGUAUUUGGGACGUGUGAAAAAGAUUAUCUUCCUCAAGAGAGGUGCCACGGAUCUUCUCGAUUCGAAUUUUAGAAAGAGUGCCACGGGCGAGAAAAAAGUUUGAUGUUGAAUCGAUAGGAGAAAUUUGCUAGCAAAUCCGAUGUUUCUUGCAAAGAUACGAAAGUAACGAGCGAAGCAAUCUGCGAGGCUUUGCAAGGAUUGAACUGCUGCGGAGUAGAUUAUUUUGUCAAACGGAACUACUGAUCAAGAAGGUGACUUCGCAUUCAAUGUAUGUACGUGCACGGAUUUCAUCUCCGGUUGCAGAGUACCCUGAAGUUCAGCGAACGGCACGACUAUCUCGAAUCUCGCGAUUCAGGAGAUCAUCACGAGUGGAAUGGGGGAUUUUCAAAAGGACGAAACGGAUUAUCGAGAGUGCCGCAAUGUGGAAAAGAAUAAAGCGCCGCCAUAUUGUAACACUCUGCUGUCGGGCAGGAAUGACCAUGAAUAUCAAGAUUUUAACAUCACAAAUCCACUUUUAGCUCAUGAAUUAGUUUAAUGUACUACUAAAUGAGAAAAGUUAUGUGUAACGAUGUCUAUCCAUACAAGGGUUUGUAUGUAAUUUUCAAGUUUACGCCUCAGUAAGUAUAAACGAUAACAACUUCCACACAAAAUCUCGUGAUAAGAUAGAAAUAGAAUUCAUAAUAUUUAAGUAUACCACCAUACA